UUUGAUUGUUUUUAUUUUAAUUUUGAAGGUUGGACUGUGGAAUUGAAAUAUAAGUUUUAAAUGACGGGCAAAUUUUAUGAGUAGUCUCAAGGAUUUUUUAUUUAUUGGGGUACCACAUAUAUAUUUUGUGCCGUGAGUUUACUGUAAUUUUGAAUCAGUCUACAGCUGUCAUCUUUGAAUCAAACCAAUUAACAUUACUGACAUCCUUAUCAUCUUGUGCUUCUAUAUAUAUAUAUAUUUUUUAUUUGUCAAUCAUCAAACAGCUAUUUGGACCACUAAAAUAGUAUUGAUUUGU
rnacentral:lncRNA from 1 species